GAGAGAAACUGGUCCAAAUGUUUGCCUACACAGAUAUCUCUACACAGAAUAUUGCUCUUGGCGUUCAGUCACAUUCUCUCUCUCUCUCUCUGUCGUUUCAAACCAAACCCCAAGCCAGGAAACCCUCUGCCUUCUUUUUCUUCUUCUUCUUGGCUAUACGCAUACGAACUUCUUUUCUAAUAUAUACCUGUACUUGCAUAUAUAUAUAUAUAUACACACA
rnacentral:misc_RNA from 1 species